GUUUGUAACACCCAAAGCCGGUGGGGUACCUUUUAGGAGCUAGCCGUCUAAGGUGGGACAGAUGAUUAGGGUGAAGUCGUAACAAGGUAGCCGUAGGAGAACCUGCGGCUGGAUCACCUCCUUUCUAAGGAAUAAACGGAAACCCACACUAUGUCAAAGUUUUGUUUAGUUUUGAGAGGUUUACUCUCAAUUUUGUUCUUUGAAAACUGAAUAAUAUCUAUAAUUUUCUAAUUUUAAUUGUUAAUCAUAAUUAAACCGAGAGAAAACCGCGUAAUUUAAAGAGUUAUAAACCAAGAUUAGUUCAAAGAUUAAUCGCUAAACUCAAUUAAUCACUUUACCGUAGGUAAAGAUAGGUUAAAGUUAGGAAGGGCGCAUGGUGAAUGCCUUGGUACUAGGAGCCGAUGAAGACGGACUAACACCGAUUGCCUCGGGAGCUGUAGUACGCUUUGAUCCGGGGAUUUCGAUGGGGCAACCCAAUAGUUUUAAUCGACUAUUAUCCGCAUCUGAAUACAUAGGAUGUGUAAGGUAA
rnacentral:misc_RNA from 1 species